AUGCGAGAUGCAGCUGCACCACCACGCGGUCGCCAACAUCCCAUUAGGUUGGGGGGGGGUGCACCGCGGGGCGAAGGUGCAGCCAGCUACUCCCUGUACAAAACGCCUGCCUGCGGGUAGGAGGGCUCGACUCGUCGAGUCCCAGGGUUUAGCGGAUCUUCAUUACCCUUUGUUGUCAGACUCUGUUGCCUCGGGGGCGACCCUGCCUUGAUUGGCCUGGGGGACCCCCGGUGGACAUUAACCAAACUCUUGCGUAUCUUUGUCGUCUGAGUGAUUAUAUCAAUCAAAUUAAAACUUUCAACAACGGAUCUCUUGGUUCU
rnacentral:misc_RNA from 1 species